rnacentral:rRNA from 1 species
CCCUUAGAGUUUGAUCCUGGCUCAGGAUGAACGCUGGCGGCGUGCUUAACACAUGCAAGUCGAGCGAAGCGAUUUAAAUGAGACUUCGGUGGAUUUUAAAUUGACUGAGCGGCGGACGGGUGAGUAACGCGUGGAUAACCUGCCUCACACAGGAGGAUAACAGUUAGAAAUGACUGCUAAUACCGCAUAAGCGCACGGUACUGCAUGGUACAGUGUGAAAAACUCAGGUGGUGUGAGAUGGAUCCGCGUCUGAUUAGGUAGUUGGUGAGGUAACGGCCCACCAAGCCGACGAUCAGUAGCCGACCUGAGAGGGUGACCGGCCACAUUGGGACUGAGACACGGCCCAAACUCCUACGGGAGGCAGCAGUGGGGAAUAUUGCACAAUGGGCGAAAGCCUGAUGCAGCAACGCCGCGUGAGUGAAGAAGUAUCUCGGUAUGUAAAGCUCUAUCAGCAGGGAAGAAAA